UACGUAGGGGGCAAGCGUUGUCCGGAAUCAUUGGGCGUAAAGCGCACGUAGGCGGCCCGGUAAGUCCGUUGUGAAAGUCAGAGGCUCAACCUCUGGAGGCCAAUGGAUACUGCCGGGCUAGAGUCCGGAAGAGGCGAGUGGAAUUCCUGGGUGUAGCGGUGGAAAUGCGCAGAUAUCAGGAGGAACACCAAUGGCGAAGGCAGCUCGCUGGGACGGUACUGACGCUGGAGGCGCGAAAGCGUGGGGAGCAAACAGG
rnacentral:rRNA from 1 species